CGGCCAACAGGCUGUAGCGCGGCUGCGCGGACCCGCCGCCACCCUCCGGCCGCCGCCGAGCCAGUUAAUGGAAAGGUGUAAAAUUAGAAGAUCUUGAGGUGACACCUGUAAUCAGAAUUGAAGAGGCAAUCACAGAUUUAGGGUUAAAAUUAAAAGUGGGCGUGGGCUUUAGCCACCACUGGACCAGCCUGUCCUCUUGGUGGCGCUGUUCGGCUUCCGGCCGUGAUGGUCACCUGUAGUCCUGCAUUACCUGGUUACAAGUAGCCAGUGCCCGAAUCACACCCUGGGAACACUGCACUAGAGACACUGCCUCCAUGUGACUCCACAGAGAGGUCCUCUUGUCUACUAAACAAGGGUCCGCGUUGCAGAACCAACGAUGGAAGCAAACACAGCCAGCCUGUUUCAGAUUUCAAAGGUCAGGACACUGGGCACAAGGAAGUUAGGCAACCUGCCCAAGAUGACCACAGCCAGGAAGUAGAAGAUCAGGGAGUUUCAACCCAGGUUAGGUGCUUAGAAGAGCACAGCUGAGAUACCAGCUUGUGGUGGAACAAUCAUAACACACACGGUAUUAACCACCGCAGCAGCACCUGUCACAUCACACAGGCUAUAUCUAUCUCAUUCAGUGCUUGCACAGACCGUCUCCGUAUUAGGUGGUCCCAAAGAUAAAAUGACCCUCUCUUUUUCUCACAAUGAGAAAAUUGCCAAAAAGAAAAUGU